rnacentral:tRNA from 1 species
GGGGUGCUAGCUCAGUAGGUAGAGCAUCUGACUUUUAAUCAGGUGGUCACAGGUUCGAUCCCUGUACACCCCACCA